rnacentral:rRNA from 1 species
GGCCCAGACUCCUGCGCGAGGCAGCAGU